GACGAACGCUGGCGGCGUGCUUAACACAUGCAAGUCGAACGGUGAAGCGCCUUCCUUUUUGGUGGGUGUGGAUGAGUGGCGAACGGGUGAGUAACACGUGAGUAACCUGCCCCCUUCUUCUGGAUAACCGCAUGAAAGUGUGGCUAAUACGGGAUAUUCUGGGUCUGUCGCAUGAUGGGUCUGGGAAAGAUAUUGUUUCGGUGGGGGAUGGGCUCGCGGCCUAUCAGCUUGUUGGUGGGGUGAUGGCCUACCAAGGCGGUGACGGGUAGCCGGCCUGAGAGGGUGGACGGUCACACUGGGGCUGAGCCACGGCCCAGACUCCCACGGGAGGCAGCAGUGGGGAAUAUUGCACAAUGGGCGCAAGCCUGAUGCAGCGACGCCGCGUGAGGGAUGGAGGCCUUCGGGUUGUGAACCUCUUUCGCCAGUGAAGCAGGCCUGCCUCGUUUGUGGGUGGGUUGACGGUAGCUGGAUAAGAAGCGCCGGCUAACUACGUG
rnacentral:rRNA from 1 species